GACGAACGCUGGCGGCGUGCUUAAUACAUGCAAGUCGAACGGAAAGGCCCUGCUUUUGUGGCGUGCUCGAGUGGCGAACGCGUGAGUAACACGUGAGUAUCCUGCCCUUGUCUUUCGGAUAACUUCAGGAAACUGCGGCGAUUACCGGGUAGGAUCUUCUGCAGCGUGUGGGGGGUUGGAAAGUGUCGGCGGUGGGGGAUGGUCUCGCGGCUUAUGAGCUAGUUGGGGGGGUAGUGACGGACCAAGGCUUCGACGGCUAGCCGGCCUGGGAGGGGGACCGGCCACCUGGGGACUGAGAGACGGACCAGAAUCCAACGGGAGGCAGUAGUGGGGAGUAUUGCAGAGUGGGCGGAAGCCUGAUGCAGAAGCGCCGCGUGCGGGAUGACGGGCUUCGAGGGGUAAACAGCUUUGGACUGUGCCGAAGCGUGAGUGACGGUAACGGGUCAAGAAGCACCGGCUAACUACGUG
rnacentral:rRNA from 1 species